CUUCGGCGCUCAGUCGCUUUUUACUUGGUUUGAAUGGAGUCAUAACUAAGAGAAAAGAACUCAAAGGCAAUUUUAACAGCACAGUUUCUUCUGAUCUUUGUUUGGAAUAGGUUCUAAGGUGUCAAGCUUAGAGACAGCACUACGAAAGUUUUUCGUGAUUGUUUAAAAAGGCUUUUUGAUCUCAUUAAAAAUGCCCUCCGCUGUAAUUAAGCACGAUCUGGACCUUGAGCCCGAAUUGCCAGAAGAAUUUAAAUACAUCGCUGAAGGACAGGGUGAAUGUGAAAAUAAAAAGCUUCAGUUAAUUGAUGAUUUUCGAAAUUUUAUACUGGAACAUGACGGUUGUACGCCACAUCGAACAGAUGACGAAUAUUUGCAAAAAUUUCUUCGUGCCCGCUUUUGGAACAUAAAGGACAGUUAUGAUUUGAUGGUUAAUUACUACAAAUUUCGAAACCAGAAUAAAAGUUACUACGAAAAAGUUCGACCACUGGAACUAAAGAUUUUGGGUGAUGAGGAUAUUAUAUCAGUAACGCCAUACAGAGAUCAAAAUGGACAUCGUAUUUUAAUUUAUCGUUUUGGGGCUUGGAAACCAGCAAAAAUCAGCGUUGAUGAUAUAUUUCGAGCCACUAUCAUCCUACUUGAAUUGGGCUCUUUGGAACCGAUUGCCCAAGUGAUGGGUGGAGUAGGCAUAUUCGACUUAAAGGGCCUAACUUUAAAUCAUAUUUUUCACUUAAAUCCAAAUGUAGCACAGAAAAUGAUUGCUUUACUAGUGACUUCGAUGCCCGUGAGAACUGCGGCAUUACAUAUUGUAAAUCAAAAUUGGGCCUUUAAUGCCGCCUACAACAUUUUUAAGCCGUUUUUAAAUGCCGCAAUGAAAGAACGAUUGUUUAUUCACGGCUCAGACAUGACGUCUCUUCAUAAACACAUAAGUCCAGAUCGCUUGCCGAAAAGGUAUGGCGGUGUACAAGACGAUUAUCCUUAUCAGCUAUGGAUAGAUAGUUUGAUUGGAAACGAGAAAAUACACAAGGAGCUGGGACAGUUGGGAUAUAUAUUUUGAAAUUACGAAGAAUAAACUUAAAUAACUCAAUAUAUCAAUUGUAUUCUAUGGAGUAAUCACCAUCCAGGCCAUAAAACAUGUUAGAAUUAUAAUACUAAGGAUAAUGUCAGCUCUAAGUAAUAUAUAUAAAUUAGUGUCGAAAACUUCCACUAAAA
rnacentral:misc_RNA from 1 species